UGAAUGAGAAGGUGUGUCCAAACUUUUGGCCUGUGCUGUAUGUGUGGACAAUUCCAGGAGAAUCCUUCCAGGAGUGCAUGGAGGCGUGGCGGAGAAGGAUGGGAAAGUGCGUUGGACUCGAGGGGGAUUGUUCUGAAGGGGAAAACUUGUAAUUUGUACUUCAGAUUUGAUAUAGUACAUUUUAUGUGACCCCAGGCCUGUUACUUUUGUGACGCACCUCGUAUAUACACAUUAUAUAUAUAUAUAAAUAUAUAUAAUAUAUAUAUAUAUGUGAACAAGCUUCUAUUUACAUACAUUUACAGGUCUGACAUUUUUUUUUCCACUGAAUGAUGAUAUUCUCUGCUCCAAAUCAUGUACCUGGGUGCUGCGACCAAUAAUAAAGCAUCCACUGCUGAUUUCUUCUUAGAGGCAGUGCAAAAGUAUGGCUUUCCAUUAAGAGUGAGAGGUGACCAAGGAGUGUAAAAUGUGGGCAUAGCACGAUGCAUGUUCACUAUUAGAGGCUGUGGAAGGGGAAGUUUCCUGUCAGGAAAGAGUGUGCACAAUCAAAGAAUAGAGUGUUUGUGGCAAGACGUUUGGAUGGCAGUUUCAAACGUGUACUACGAGGUUUUUCACAGCCUUGAGGAUGAAGGUCUACUAGAUCCUUCUGACAGCAUCCACCUGUUCUGUGCCCAGCAUGUAUUUCUUCCACGUCUGCAGAGGGAUCUCGAUGUCUUCAGAGUGGGUUGGGAUAAUCACCCACUAAGAACAGAGCAACAUCUGUCCCCACAACAACUGUGGACAAUGGGACUCCUCCAGAAUCCUGUUGAUGCUCCAGACCUGGCAGAGGAAAUCAAGGAUCUUGAUUUCAAUACUGCCAGUGAGCCAGACGCGACCAGUUCUGGAGUGUGAUUCUUCCACCUGUUCAUUGUCCCCUCUGUGAGCAGGAUAUGGCAGACCUCAGGGCCACUAUUGAUGUAACAAGACCAUCAGAGUCCCACGGAAGAGACAUUUAUUUCACUGU